UACGUAGGUGGCGAGCGUUGUCCGGAUUUACUGGGCGUAAAGAGCGCGCAGGCGGUCGUGCAAGUCGCGUGUGAAAGCCCCCGGCUCAACCGGGGAAGUGCAUCCGAAACUGGCAGGCUAGAGUACGAAAGAGGGUCGCGGAAUUCCCGGUGUAGAGGUGAAAUUCGUAGAUAUCGGGAGGAACACCGGUGGCGAAGGCGGCGACCUGGGUCGAUACUGACGCUGAGACGCGAAAGCGUGGGGAGCAAACAGG
rnacentral:rRNA from 1 species